CCUUAACCUGCUAAAUAGUUGCGUUCACUUUUGUGGACGACCAACUUCUUAGAGGGACUGUGAAUGUUUAAUUCACGGAAGUUUGAGGCAAUAACAGGUCUGUGAUGCCCUUAGAUGUUCUGGGCCGCACGCGCGCUACACUGACGAAGGCAACAAGUAUUCACCUUGACCGGAAGGUCUGGGUAAUCUUUUGAAACUUUGUCGUGCUGGGGAUAGUCCCUUGCAAUUAUUGGACUUGAACGAGGAAUUCCUAGUAAGCGCAAGUCAUCAGCUUGCGUUGAUUACGUCCCUGCCCUUUGUACACACCGCCCGUCGCUACUACCGAUUGAAUGGCUUAGUGAGACCUCCGGAUUGACGAUUCACGGACGGCAACGUCUGAGAGUUGUUGAGAAGUUGGUCAAACUUGGUCAUUUAGAGGAAGUAAAAGUCG
rnacentral:rRNA from 1 species